rnacentral:misc_RNA from 1 species
GAUGAAGAACGCAGCGAAAUGCGAUACUUGGUGUGAAUUGCAGAAUCCCGUGAACCAUCGAGUCUUUGAACGCAAGUUGCGCCUCAAGCCAUUAGGUUGAGGGCACGUCUGCCUGGGCGUCACAUAUCGUUGCCUGAUGCCAGUUUCCUCGUGAUGGGUGACUGUGCAGGGCGAAUGAUGGCUUCCCGUGAGCAUUGUUGCCUCAUGGUUGGUUGAAAAUUGAGUCCUUGGUAGGGAGCGCCGUGAUAGAUGGUGGUUGAGUGACGAACGAGACCCAAUCAUGUGAGACCCCUACCGAAUUUGGCCUUCAUGACCCACAUGCGUCUUUGGAACGCUCAUGACGAGACCUCAGGUCAGGCGGGGCUACCCGCUGAGUUUAAGCAUAUCAAUAAGCGAGGA